CGUGUAUGCAAUUACAAGUCAAGGACCUGGACAGCCAGAACUACGGAGCGUUUCUCCUGGAAGUCGAGUUUCACCAGGUAGCGUACCUGGAGCGCAAAAACUACGGAGGGCUUGUCCUGGAAGUCGAGUUGCACCAGGAAGCGGACCCGGAGCGCAG
rnacentral:lncRNA from 1 species